rnacentral:tRNA from 1 species
UCCUUGUUAGUAUGGUCGUGAGUAUCCCCGCCUGUCACCCUGGGAGACCAGGGUUCGAUUCCCUGAUGGGGAG